UUCAGCUCCAAGGAUAUGAUAUCAGGGAAAUAAUACAAGGAACUUGACUUGGGCACCAUAAUUCUCUGGACAAAGUCGUCUUCAUCAGCUUGUCGCAGUUGCUGAACGUAGGAACGAAUCUGGUUUUAUUUUCUGUAAUUUAGGCCAAAUGCUGGUUGGAGCUUGCAAGUAAUGUGGGAAGCCGAAAAAUCCACAAGGAAGCUUCUGUUCAUUUUUCAAUAAUCUAGUAUACUAUUUGGUGUAGGUUUUGAGUACACAGUUCUCAUAUAAUGUAUCCUUGUGAGUACAUGUUGAUCGUGAUCGUUGUAUGAAUGAAUUUUUG
rnacentral:misc_RNA from 1 species